GAAUGAAACGCUAGCGGUCGGCCUAACACAUGCAAGUCGAGCGGCAGCAUUUGGAUUUAUUCAAGAUGGCGAGCGGCGCACGGGUGCGUAACGCGUAGGCAACCUACCCUUAACAGAGGGAUAGCCCGACGAAAGUUGGAUUAAUACCUCAGACAUCAAUUUUUGGCAUCAGAUAUUGAUUAAAGUUCCGGCGGUUAAGGAUGGGCCUGCGUCCUAUUAGUUAGUUGGUAAGGUAACGGCUUACCAAGGCAACGAUAGGUAGGGGGUCUGAAAGGAUGAUCCUCCACACUGGCACUGAGACACGGGCCAGACUCCUACGGGAGGCAGCAGUGAGGAAUAUUGCGCAAUGGGCGAAAGCCUGACGCAGCCAGACCGCGUGCAGGAAGACAGCCGUAAGGUUGUAAACUGCUUUUAUUUGGGAGGAAAAGUAUGUACGAGUACAUAUCUGACAGUACCAAAAGAAUAAGCACCGGCUAACUCCGUGCCAGCAGCCGCGGUAAUACGGAGGGUGCAGGCGUUAUCCGGAUUUACUAGGUUUAAAGGGUCCGUAGGCUGUUUAUUAAGUCAGUGGUGAAAUACCAUAGCUCAACUAUGGAACUGCCGUUGAUACUGAUAGACUUGAGUACGGUUGCUGUUGGCGGAAUGUAUCAUGUAGCGGUGAAAUGCAUAGAUAUGAUACAGAACACCGAUUGCGAAAGCAGCUAACAAAACCGGGACUGACGCUGAUGGACGAAAGCGUGGGGAGCGAACAGGAUUAGAUACCCUGGUAGUCCACGCCGUAAACGAUGAUUACUCGUUGCUGGUGAUACACAAUCAGUGACUGAGCGAAAGCAUUAAGUAGUCCACCUGGGGAGUACGUUCGCAAGAAUGAAACUCAAAGGAAUUGACGGGGGCCCGCACAAGCGGAGGAACAUGUGGUUUAAUUCGAUGAUACGCGAGGAACCUUACCUGGGCUUAAAUGGCAGGCACUUUCGGGUGUAGUUCUUCGAAAGAAGACUUAAACUGUCAAGGUGCUGCAUGGUUGUCGUCAGCUCGUGCCGUGAGGUGUCGGGUUAAGUCCCAUAACGAGCGCAACCCUUAUCCUUAGUUGCUAACAGGUUAAGCUGAGUUCUCUAGGGAAACUGCCAUCGUAAGAUGUGAGGAAGGUGGGGAUGACGUCAAAUCAGCACGGCCCUUAUGUCCAGGGCUACACACGUGUUACAAUGGUCGGUACAAAAGGCAGCUAAUUGGUGACAAUGCGCUAAUCCCAAAAACCGGCCCCAGUUCGGAUUGGAGUCUGCAAUUCGACUCCAUGAAGCAGGAUUCGCUAGUAACCGCGUAUCAGCAACGACGCGGUGAAUACGUUCCCGGGCCU
rnacentral:rRNA from 1 species